rnacentral:lncRNA from 13 species
CUGGUGACAGAAUGAGAUUCCAUCUCAAAAAAUAAAUAAAUAAAUAAAUAAAUAUAAAUUUUAAAAACGAUAAAAUAAGAAGCAUUCUGCAUACUUCGUGCAGCAAUUCUGCCACAGCCCCUAACGACGGCCACUUCUCAUUCCAAAUCCUGCCCUACGUUUUUCCUGUUUCAGGUUCAGUUUCAGUUUUAGAAUAAAUGAUUAAUCCAAUUCACCUGGAGCAAACGGCAGGAGACAUCCUGCUUUGGUUGUAAUAAAAUUUCAUUGCAAAUGCACUGAUCAAAGUCACAGUGAAAUAUUACAGGGUCUAGAGACCCAAGAGAAUACAACCAAGAAUAAAGGAAACAAAAAAACUGUUUGGAACCCCGUUCUGGGAAGAACGUUACCUUCAGACGCUGUCAUGGAUAUGCCUCAGUCCUUAUACUCAUGCUAGUGCAUUCGUCAGUUUUCACACUGCUAUAAAGAAAUACCCAAGACUGGGUCACUUGUGAAAGACGGAGGUUUAACUGACUGGCAUUUCUGUGUCACUGGGGAGCCCUCAGGAAACUUACGAUCAUGGCAGAAGGGGAAGCAGGCACCUCUUACACGGUGAGAGAGAGCGUGUGUGAAGGAGGAACCCUCAGACACUUCUAAAACUGUCAGGGAUCUUCUGAGAACUCACUCAUUGUCAGGAGAACAGCACUGGGGGACCGUCCCCAUGAUCCAAUCACCUCCUUCCCUCUACAGGCUUGAACUAAAACAUCAGCUCUUUCCAAGUCUUGAGCCUUCCAGCUGGGACCACAAUUCACACAUGGAUGCUCCCGGGUCUGCAGACCACAGACUGCAGAGCUUGGAGUUCCACUUUGGUGGUGAGAGAAAAGAAUAUCUGAUUGGAUUAUGCGGCGUGAGCAGUGACCUAGUUAUCUUGCUCGUGCGAAACCUUUCCCUGGGAUGCUAGAACCCAGACAGAAACUCCUCCCUGGUGAGAACUCGCUGGAAUCACAGACGACGCUUGCAGGGAAACAGCCGCGACUGGGUGGUCUGCCGAGGAAGAACGCACCUGAAGAAGACCACCCCUCUUCCCAGCCCACGGGGUCUCUUCCCAACCACGCUCCUCCUUCCUUCUUCCCGUCUCUCUGAAGGGACCCCACGCAUUUCCCUCUGGCUCUCCUGGCACAAUCCGGAUCGUGGAUUCAAUCAACGUCUAUGAG